CUGGACCCUUGUUUACAGGAGAGAGAAAAAGAAGUCAGCAGGUUUUCCAAGGGGAACUCCACAGUAACCGUCAGUCGCAGCAGGGAGAGCAGCCCUUGAGUCCCAGCAACUGACUGCAGGUCAACAGCAGGACAGCAGCAUGGAUGGAAAACCCUAAAAGCAGCAGAUUGAAGGGCUGCAGCCCCCAUCACCUAAGACAGGGAUUGUGGCUGCA